UUUGGUUUACUCCAACACACACAUACAAUGAAACAGAUACCGAUAUAAACAGAUGCAAUAAACAAGAGAAAAUUGACAAAGAUUGGGGCGCCUUCCCAAGCAAACGGUGGCGCCCCAAAACAAUAGCCCAGUAAUAUUAUUAUUAUUUCUAAUAGGGCGCAUCUUUGUAAUCCCCCGAGGAUUAAAGAUGCGCCACAAGAACCGUCGUCAACAGAAGUACAACCAAAAUGAAUCGCAACCCAUUGGCACCACCAAGAAUCAAGAAUUAAGCAGAAUCAGUUACAGUCCCUGCCACUGCCCCGCACCAACCACGAGAAUGAUGAUGAUGAUGAUGAUGAUGUUGCAGUUGCCGGAAAGGGGGCCAGACGUUUGUCCAAAUUCUACACGAAAUUUUAUGUAAAACAGCUGUAGGAGCAAACGAAAAACGCAAUUCCAACCAGCCACCGCCCCCGCCCGAACACGCGAAACAGCGGGUAACAAUCGAUUUUCAGUUUCAAGUUAUUCCUUCUCGGCGAUCGGUCCGGUUUCGAUCGAUCGCGUUCCUAUGAUUUAUAGAGACGAAGAGAGAGAGAGAGAGAGAGAGAGAGCGAGAGAGACAUGCUCCUGGGAUCCGAACCCCCGCCCCAGAACAGAGGGAUAGCAAAGGAGGCCUAGGGGCAUGUGUAAGAUAUGUACUAUAAUAAAAGUAAACGAAAAAACGAUAAGCAAACAAAUGAAACAACAAUAUUUAUACAGAGACUGCAAACAAAUGUGAUCAGAUAUUUUAUAAUAUAUAAGUUUACAGAGCAAGAUACAGCAAGAUACAGCAUAUAGCCAGAAUCAGAAAACAGAAACAGAAACAGAAACAGAAAAACAGAAUCAGAACCAGAAAUCUAGUUAUAUAGCCGAACGAUCAAAUCAAAAGCAAAACAACAACAACAACAACAGCAACAACAACCACAGUAACAGUAAACCAGUACAGUUAGCAUAGAACGUAACGAGUAACGAGUAAAGCAGUAACGAGAGCAGCAAGAUCGUGAGCAAGGACUCGCAACGAGUCGAAUAGUAACACGUAAGAAACAAAACAAAAACCUAUUUAUAAUAAUAUUUUUUACAAUAGAAUAUACAACUAAAUAUAGCAAAACGACAAACAAACCGAGCGGGAGGCGCACAGCAGAGAAUACCCCAAAUACCUACAUCCAGUUCCUUGUCCCCGAAUCGUAUAAUCAUAUCCCGAAACCCUCGAGCCAGAUGCUGACGUGCUGUCGCCUCUACGCGCAACAGUUGCCUUUCACAGAAACAAUUUACCAUUUAAGUUACCAAUAGUGAAAUAGACAAGCCAGAACGGUGCCACGCAGUUGCAGUGGCGCCGCCGUUUUCCCAGCCAGUUUUUAGUUGAGCAACUUUUCGGUUCAUUUCGAGUACUACAGAGCAGAGUGCAGAAUGCAGUGCAGAGGUUUAUCAUUUCAAUGUUCAUACAAAGGUUAUAUUUAGUUCAAGGAGAAGAAACAGAAGCAGUCAUCAGUCGAGCAGAGAACUAACCAAUAAAUAAUGAAUACACACACACACACACACAACCAAACACACUCACAGAUAUACUAAAAUGUUUGUUACAUAGUUUUGAUUUAAAUCCGUUGAGUGAGUCAAGUUUUUCAGUUGGAUCAACAAAGUUAGGAGCCAUUAUUGUCAUGAGUUGAAGUCACAUUCAAGAAUUAUGCAAAAUUAAGCAAAACCCUUGAGUUCUGAACAACAAUAGUGCCGGUAAUAUUUAUAAGAUAAGUGAAACCAUAUAUAUACAUAUAUGUAUGUAUGUAUAUGCGUAGAAAUAUAUAUAUAACAAAUACAUACUCUAGACGUCGUAAUCCGUAUUUCAGCAUAGCUAAAAAAUGUUCUAAAUGUACACUGAAUACAACCCCCAAUAAAAACAAAGCAACAAAAUGAAAUGAAAUGAGGUCACUAUUUAAGUUAGGUGUUGGUGUGGCUACGACCGACUUUGAAAUAAGAUGUGUAUGUAAAAAAACAAACUUACUAUAAAAGGAAUUCGAUGGAUCCUACCCCUUAAUCCAAUGUUAAGUUCUUAAAAUUGCUAUGUAUCCACCACUAUCAGUAUAUAGAACAUACGAUAUACAUAUGUGUAGCCCUGAAUCCCUUCCUUGAGUUUUGGUGACCAUCUUCUAGGUGAUCCUCAGUGCAGCAUAAAAAACCCAGCGAAUGUGUGCGUGGCCAGAGCGUGGACAGUUCUCAAGCCUAGAAAAUAAAACCAAUUGGCCGGCCAGGCAGGGCCAGAAGAUCGGCUCAGGGCUGGCCGGGCACCUCCAGGACAUCCAGAACCGUUUCGCACCAUAGAACUCAAGGCAAUACAAGCAAUCCAGAGGUACGAGAGAGAAUAAAAGGAAGAAGCAACAGCAGAAGCAGAAACAGAAGAAACAGAAGCAGAAGCAGCUGCAUGAAAGCAAGGCAAAGGACAAGUUUCGAAUCAGAAUUUCGGUGACAUCUUUCGGCACAGUUUCGACAACUUUCGAUUAGGCUUUUGUUGUUAAUUUGUUUUUUUGCGACCACGUCUCCACGUCUCCAUAGCACACGAGCAACAUGCAGCCAGCGGCAUGCCACACACAGAAGCAAAAACAGUAGCAAACAGAAGCAGCAACCAGCCACGUGAUAAACGAGUUGAGCAAAGUGAAAAGCAAUUUUGAAAUGGGGCCACAACGUCCGAUCUAAAGUGCCUUCAAGUAACAAUGAAAAACAAAAACGAAACCAAAAGGAAAAAGAAAACAAAAAUACCAAAAAACUAAAAAUAAAA